rnacentral:rRNA from 2 species
CACGGUGUGAUUCAUGACUGGGGUGAAGUCGUAACAAGGUAGCCGUAGGGGAACCUGCGGCUGGAUCACCUCCUUA